rnacentral:rRNA from 1 species
UACGUAGGGUGCAAGCGUUGUCCGGAAUCAUUGGGCGUAAAGAGCUCGUAGGUGGUCUGUUACGUCUGCUGUGAAAUCCUAGGGCUUAACCCUGGGCCUGCAGUGGAUACGGGCAGACUAGAGGUAGGUAGGGGAGAAUGGAAUUCCCGGUGUAGCGGUGAGAUGCGCAGAUAUCGGGAGGAACACCGGUGGCGAAGGCGGUUCUCUGGGCCUUACCUGACACUGAGGAGCGAAAGCGUGGGGAGCGAACAGG